rnacentral:rRNA from 1 species
UACGUAGGGUGCGAGCGUUGUCCGGAAUUAUUGGGCGUAAAGGGCUCGUAGGCGGUUUGUCGCGUCGGGAGUGAAAACGCCGUGCUUAACACGGCGCUUGCUUUCGAUACGGGCAGACUAGAGGUAUGCAGGGGAGAACGGAAUUCCUGGUGUAGCGGUGAAAUGCGCAGAUAUCAGGAGGAACACCGGUGGCGAAGGCGGUUCUCUGGGCAUUACCUGACGCUGAGGGGCGAAAGUGUGGGGAGCGAACAGG